AUCUCAAAAUUUGUUAGGCGCCA
rnacentral:siRNA from 1 species